rnacentral:rRNA from 1 species
GACGAACGCUGGCGGCGUGCUUAACACAUGCAAGUCGAACGGAAAGGCCCUGCUUUUGUGGGGUGCUCGAGUGGCGAACGGGGGAGUAACACGUGAGUAACCUGCCCUUGACUUUGGGAUAACUUCAGGAAACUGGGGCUAAUACCGGAUAGGAGCUCCUGCUGCAUGGUGGGGGUUGGAAAGUUUCGGCGGUUGGGGAUGGACUCGCGGCUUAUCAGCUUGUUGGUGGGGUAGUGGCUUACCAAGGCUUUGACGGGUAGCCGGCCUGAGAGGGUGACCGGCCACAUUGGGACUGAGAUACGGCCCAGACUCCUACGGGAGGCAGCAGUGGGGAAUAUUGCACAAUGGGCGGAAGCCUGAUGCAGCAACGCCGCGUGCGGGAUGCCGGCCUUCGGGUUGUAAACCGCUUUCGCCUGUGACGAAGCGUGAGUGACGGUAAUGGGUAAAGAAGCACCGGCUAACUACGUG